GACGAACGCUGGCGGCGUGCCUAAUACAUGCAAGUCGAACGCAGUGGGGACGGGUGAGUAACACGUGGGUAACCUUCCAUCAGAGGGGAUAACACUUGGAAACAGGUGCUAAACCGAUAUCGAUGGAUGGACCCGCGGGGGAUUAGCUAGUGGGGGGGGUAACGGCUCACCAAGGCCACGAGGCAUAGCUGGCCGGAGAGGGUGAUCGGCAAAACUGGAACUGAGACACGGCCCAGACUCCUACGGGAGGCAGCAUUGGGGAAUCUUCGGCAAUGGCCGAAAGUCUGACCGAGCAACGCCGCGUGAGUGAAGAAGGUUUUCGGAUCGUAAAGCUCUGUUGUUAGGGAAGCGGUAUCUAACCAAAAAGCCACGGCUAACUACGUGCCAGCAGCCGCGGUAAUAC
rnacentral:rRNA from 1 species